rnacentral:rRNA from 1 species
UACAGAGGGUGCGAGCGUUGUUCGGAUUCAUUGGGCGUAAAGGGUGCGUAGGUGGCGUCGUAAGUCGGGUGUGAAAUCUCGGAGCUUAACUCCGAAACUGCAUUCGAUACUGCCGUGCUUGAGGACUGGAGAGGAGACUGGAAUUUACGGUGUAGCGGUGAAAUGCGUAGAUAUCGUAAGGAAGACCAGUGGCGAAGGCGGGUCUCUGGACAGUUCCUGACGCUGAGGCACGAAGGUCAGGGGAGCAAACGGG